AUCGACUAAAGAGUUGUUAUUU
rnacentral:snRNA from 1 species